rnacentral:rRNA from 2 species
GGACUACUGGGGUAUCUAAUCCUGUUUGCUCCCCACGCUUUCGUGCCUCAGCGUCAGGAAAGGCCCAGUCGCCCGUCUUCACCAUCGGCAUUCCUGUAGAUAUCUACGCAUUUCACCGCUCCACCUACAGUUCUGGCGACCCCUACCUUCCUCAAGACCCGCAGUAUGACGAGCUGUUCCCCGGUUGAGCCGGGGGAUUUCACAAGUCACUUGCGGGCCGGCCUACGCACCCUUUAAGCCCAGUAAUUCCGAUUAACGCUCGAGACCCCUGUCUUACCGCGGCUGCUGGCAC